rnacentral:rRNA from 1 species
UAGGGAAUCUUCGGCAAUGGACGGAAGUCUGACCGAGCAACGCCGCGUGAGUGAAGAAGGUUUUCGGAUCGUAAAGCUCUGUUGUUAGAGAAGAACGUUGGCAGGAGUGGAAAAUCUACCAAGUGACGGUAACUAACCAGAAAGGGACGGCUAACUACGUGCCAGCAGCCGCGGUAAUAUGUCGGUCCCGAACGUUGUCCGGAUUUAUUGGGCGUAAAGCGAGCGCAGGCGGUUCUUUAAGUCUGAAGUUAAAGGCAGUGGCUUAACCAUUGUGCGCUUUGAAAACUGGAGGACUUGAGUGCAGAAGGGGGGAGUGGAAUUCCAUGUGUAGCGGUGAAAUGCGUAGAUAUAUGGAGAAACACCGGUGGCGAAAGCGGCUCUCUGGUCUGUAACUGACGCGGGGGCUCGAAAGCGUGGGGAGCAAACAGU